GUCAAGCUGUUGUUACAGAAGGAACAUCCCUCAGUAGAGCAUGAGACUCUUAAUCUCAGGGUUGUGGGUUCAAGCCCCAUGCUGGGCA